GGAUGCUCAGUAAAGCAAAUCAGCCUCACACUUGUGCUAGGAAUAGAGGUCUCACUGCUGUGUAUACGACUAUUUCCUGGGCUGGUGAGCACCACCUAAACACAGCUUCCUCCUUACACACACACCUCUUCUUGUAGGCAUAAACAAAUGUCCUCUUUCUCAUAUCUGCCAGCAUUCCCAUGUUUGCACCUGAGCUGAGGCUAUUUCACACUCUUCCUCCCAACCUAACUCACACAUGGGGGAGGACGGUGCUGAGGAUGGAAGGAAACUGGUGGGAGAGAGGGGAGGCCCCCAAAGUUGGGAAUGCAUAACUUGUUUGUGAUGGAAAAUUUCCUCAGGCCUUCAGGGAAAAUAAAAGAGAGACCUCAGGUUCAGGUUUCAACACUAAGCCCCACAUCUGGGAUCCUAGCUGCAGCUGGGCCUAGUUAGCCUCAUUGUCCUCCUCCCCACACAGGGACGAAGAGAUGACCCAGAGAACCCAGAUUGUUGCCAUUUUUUUUUUCUCAUUCUCACCCCAUUUUCCACCAUCUCUGGAGACUCUGCCACCCAGGAAGCUAGGGAAAGAUGGAGAAGUGAGGGGGGUGUGGGAGUGGGGGCUGGGUGAUGAGUUACAGCCAGGAAGUACCAGAGGUUGCGAGCAUGAGCUGGAUCAGAGCCCAGUGUUCUCAUCCCAGAGAAACAGGCCCGGAGCUGCUCCAACCCCCCAUCCACAUUCCCCCUCUCCCGGAUCCGCCUGUUCCUUCAUUUCCUUCCUCUGACCAGAUUCCCUAGAGCGUCUGGGUCCUAAGCUGCCGUCAUCCUGGUGACUCCCGAGCAGUUCUGGCACAACACCGAUGGCUUUCCCUGUCUCAGACAAUGAAGGAGUUGGAAAUCCCACCCAGAACAGUGGGAGGAUGGCUCACAAGGGGAACGUGAGGGAUAACACGCAUCUCUUCUCCUGGUCAGCAUCAAACUCCCUCUCUGGAUAGCGCCUGCCCAUUUGGAGUUGCUCCUGUCUGCUGAACCCCAAGAUCAACCCCCCCCCCCCAGAGUACAGAAGUGGUUGUGUGGCUACAUUCCCCAGUUCAGAAAGGAAAACAGGGACUCCCACAUUCCCGGGCAGUUGAGCCACCCUCAGCUUGGACCAGCUUAGCUAGUGAUUUUGGUAUUCAUUAACUAUUCACCACCAGAAACAAAGACAGUGAUGGGCCACAAAGAACCUUCCAAAAGCCAGGUGUUGUCACUGGUGCUGGCUGUAGGCUGGGACUUCCACUGUCACGGCUGGGUUCAGUUUGGGAUCAGGUAAUAUGGUUUGGGGAUGAAGGCGUGGCUCAGUGGCUGGAGGGCUUGCUGAGCAUGGUUGAGGCCUGAGGUUUGAUCCUGCCCUCAAAAACCAGACUCUGUGGCACAAGCCUAUUAUCUUGGCCUCUGGAUGUGGAAAAGUAUCAGGAGGCCAAGGUCAUAUCUAUCUAUCUAUCUAUCUAUCUAUCUAUCUAUCUAUCUAUCUAUCUAUCUAUCUAUCUGUCUAUCUAUGGAGUUUGAAGUCUGGUAGCCUUCCCAAGACCCUGGCUCAAGAAAGCAAAAGCAAAAGCUAAGUGUGGUGGUAUGGUUGUAAUCCCAUCACUUGGUAGGCUGAGGCAGGGAGCUCAUUCUGAGUUCUAGACCAACCUGAUCCAAGUACAAAGCCUUAGGCCAGUCAGGAUGCCCUAGCAAGACAUUGCCUCAAAAACCAAACUGAUGGCAGAAGCGAUGUCUCAGUGCCCAAAGGUGCUGCCCCGAAGCCUGAAAACCUGAUUGCAUACCCAGGUCUCACGUGGUGGGAGGAGAGAAUCAAUCCUGUGAAGUUGUUCUCUUCCCUCCUCCUCUCCAUCGUGCAUGCACCUGUACACAUGCACACUAAAUAAAUAAACGCACAGUAAUAAUUUUUAAGAAACUUUUGGGCCAUCGAGAUGGCUCAGAGGGUAAAAGAUCUUGCUGCCAAACCCACCACAACCCUCAUGGUAGAAGAAGAGAACUGACUCCCAUAAGUUAAAUAAUUGGAUGUUUUCUUUUUCCUUUUCUCUCUUGUGCUAUUUUUGUCUUAAAAGCUUUUUAAAAAAGUUUUACACAGGCACAAGUGGCACACGCCUUUAAUGCCAGCAGUUGGGAGGCAGAGGCAGGCAGAUCUCUGUGAGUUUAAGGAUAGCCUAGUCUACAGAGUGAACUCCAGGACAGCCAGGAUUGUUACACAGAGAAGCCCUGUCUCAGAACAAACAAACUACAAAGAUUUAAUUAUUGUAUGUGUCUGAAUGUUCUGCCAGCAUGUGUACCAUGUUCAUGUCUGGUACCCGCAUAGGUUAAAAGGAUGCAUUACAUGUUCUGGAACUGGAGUUACAGGUGGUUGUGAACUACCAUGAGGGGCCCAGUCCUCUGGAAGAGCAGUAAGAGCUCUUAAUUGCCCUAAUUUGUCUUAAAAAAAAAAAAGAUUUAUUUGGGGCUGGAGAGAUGGCUCAGAGAUUAAGAGCACUGACUGCUCUUCCAAAGGUCCUGAGUUUAAUUCCCAGCAACCACAUGGUGGCUUACAACCAUCCGUUAUGAGAUCUGGUGCCCUCUACUGGUGUGCAGAUAUACAUGGAAG
ensembl:lncRNA